GCUUGUAGCUCAGGUGGUUAGAGCGCACGCCUGAUAAGCGUGAGGUCGAUGGUUCGAAUCCAUCCAGGCC
rnacentral:tRNA from 1 species